UAGGGAAUCUUCGGCAAUGGGGGGAACCCUGACCGAGCAACGCCGCGUGAGUGAAGAAGGUUUUCGGAUCGUAAAGCUCUGUUGUUAAGGAAGAACGAGUGUGAGAAUGGAAAGUUCAUACUGUGACGGUACUUAACCAGAAAGGGACGGCUAACUACGUGCCAGCAGCCGCGGUAAUACGGAGGUCCCGAGCGUUGUCCGGAUUUAUUGGGCGUAAAGCGAGCGCAGGCGGUUAGAUAAGUCUGAAGUUAAAGGCAGUGGCUCAACCAUUGUAGGCUUUGGAAACUGUUUAACUUGAGUGCAGAAGGGGAGAGUGGAAUUCCAUGUGUAGCGGUGAAUUGCGUAGAUAUAUGGAGGAACACCGGUGGCGAAGGCGGCUCUCUGGUCUGUAACUGACGCUGAGGCUCGAAAGCGUGGGGAGCGAACAGG
rnacentral:rRNA from 1 species